GAUGAACGCUGGCGGCGUGCCUAAUACAUGCAAGUCGAGCGAACAGACGAGGAGCUUGCUUCUCUGACGUUAGCGGCGGACGGGUGAGUAACACGUGGAUAACCUACCUAUAAGACUGGGAUAACUUCGGGAAACCGGAGCUAAUACCGGAUAAUAUAUUGAACCGCAUGGUUCAAUAGUGAAAGACGGUUUUGCUGUCACUUAUAGAUGGAUCCGCGCCGCAUUAGCUAGUUGGUAAGGUAACGGCUUACCAAGGCAACGAUGCGUAGCCGACCUGAGAGGGUGAUCGGCCACACUGGAACUGAGACACGGUCCAGACUCCUACGGGAGGCAGCAGUAGGGAAUCUUCCGCAAUGGGCGAAAGCCUGACGGAGCAACGCCGCGUGAGUGAUGAAGGUCUUCGGAUCGUAAAACUCUGUUAUUAGGGAAGAACAAAUGUGUAAGUAACUAUGCACGUCUUGACGGUACCUAAUCAGAAAGCCACGGCUAACUACGU
rnacentral:rRNA from 1 species